AUAAAUAGACAGCUACAAAAAAUAUUGAUGAAACUGCGUUGGUAAAUAGUAUGGUCUAGAGCUUAUCAUGAGGUACUCUAACUUAGGCGAGCAGAAUGUUUAAACUUCCAUAAUAUUAGAGAUUGCACACAAUAUAUUGUUAAUAAAGACACACACCUCCCCCCUGAUCUUACCAGACUCUGCCGUUCUGUCCUGCCGAUGCAUAGAAAAACCAGCUGAGCUUGUACAGUUUAUUCUCCAGCAAUUGCACAUUUGCCAACAGAGCAGUGGGUCGAGGCUAUAUAUUCAUUGGCCACCAUAGUCUCACCAGGGUGUCCAUGCAUCAGCCUCUAUAGCGCUGUCUUCUUCUCCUUUGAGUGUCAGGGAUUACGGCCUGGUCCAGGAUAAUCAAUAUGGCUUUAGCCUCUGACUCACUGAAGUAGAAGUCCUCGUCCAAAUUCGAGGUUAGUGAUAGCUGUUCAGAAGUUCUUGUCGGUCAUAUGAAAUGAUGGCAGUAACAUUAUGUACAAAAAAAGUUAAGAUAAGCCCUAAAAAAUACAUAAAAUAGCACAAUGGGUUAGGAGCCCGUAAAACAGUCCUUCUGCCGCUAUUCCAAAAAACAAAUGUAAAAAAUAUACUGAAAAUAAUCUGUAUAUGUAAAAUGUGGUGGUGGUCUUUCAGUUUCCACUGGUCCUGGGGGCCCUUUUUAAGGUCAACGGCAUCAUGAAUUUUAUCCAUUUUAGCCUCUGCCAUGAAGCUGAAUCUUGGCGACAAGUGGAAGAUUUUCCAGCAAGACAAUAACCAAGCACACAUAAAAAUCUACAAAUAAUUGGUUAAUUAACCACAAAAACAACAUUUGCAAUGGCCAUCUGUCUCCGGAAUAAAACCCAAUUGAAAACCUGCGGUUUGAAGUAAAGAGGUCAUUCCAUAAGCGCAGACCAAAGUAUUUAUCAAGGAUAUGGAAAAGAUUCUGUAUGGAGGAAUGGUGUAAGAGCUCUCCUAAUGUGUUCUCCAAUCUCAUAAAACAUUUUAGAUAAAGGCUCAGUUACGUUAUCCUUGUAAGGGGAGGGUGCCAAAAACAGGGGUGAGUAUUGAAAACAGGGAUGCCAAUAAUGUUUUUGAGAAUUUAUUUGUAUUACUUGUCAAACUAAAUAUUUUUUUCUAAACAAUUUUCCUAGUAUAAAAUAAUAUAUACAUUAUUUUAGCAUAGAAUAUAGGUCAGUAUUUGUAUUAUUCAUUUUAUACAGUAUUCUUUGCUAGUCUUUAUCAAGGCCGGGUGCCAAUAAUUCUGGACCUGAUUGUAUUAUAUGCACAGUUCUUAGUAGACUGUGCCAGUCAUCACUUUGUUAUUUAUUUAUUUUUGUAUUUUGCCCCCUUUUUCUCCCAAUUUCGAUCUUGUCUCAUUGCUGCAACUCCCCAACGGGCUCUGGAAAGGCGAAGACGGAGUCAUGCGUCCUCCAAAUCAUGACCUGCCGAAUCACGCUCUUUAACACCCGUCAGCUUAACCCUGAAGCCAGCUGGACCAAUGUGUCAGAGGAAACACCACAAGGAGUUGCUAGGGCGCGAUGAGCCAAGUAAAGCCCCCCCCCCACCAAACCCUCCUCUAACCUGGACUACGCUGGGCCAAUUGUGUGCCGUCCUAUGGGACCCCCGGCCAUGGCCGUUUGUGGCACAGCCCGGGAAUGAACCCGGGUGUCCCAAACGGUACUGCUGUGUGGACAGACAUUCUGGGUUAAAAACAAAUAUACAAUCCUCAGAAGGAACGUUACGGACUCUGCCAGUGAGACCAUGCCGAUGCAAGACAUUGCAGGUGGCCACCAUCUUUAACCACUCUCUUGCCUGACCAGCUUGUGGACUAGAGAGCCAGAGACACUAAAAGCAUCUGAAACUCUUUUGUUAUGUGUUUACUCAUUACCGCUUGUGUAGUCGGGCACACCACACUCUUCCCAACAGUAUACAAACGAGGAGGCAUGCAAAGUUAUAUCUUGGUGUGUUAUGCACAACACAUUUACCAUCCUCCUCCCUUACCUCUUCAAUGAAUAUACCAUAGGCCUCUACAUUAUGGACAAGACGUCACCCUCCCUACACCUCUGCAUUUAACAGAAAACCUGUUCAAUCACAACGUACUGCAAAAUCAUUCUGGCUAUGUACACGGAGAACAUCAACACACCAGAGGAUAUAUCCAUUAUACUUGGGCCUCUGCUGGGAGUUUACCUCAUAUUUAGAUUUUUUAAUUCUGCUGUGCCACUAAAAUCCAAAUAAACACUGACAACUAAAAUAUUCUGUUAUUUUUAUGUAUAUUAAUGACGUGUGGACUGGGGGGUAAAAAUUUACCCCAAAGGUUGAGGAACAAUUUAAAAGGGGUUCUUAAAAGGAUUAUUUAAAGAACCCUUUAAAAGGGUUCUUCGAAGAACUUAUAGGAUACUCCAGGAACCUUUCAUUUUUAGAGUGUGGGUUAACUUAUAAUACGUAAAUGAAUGUGGAAAUAGAACACACAGAACAUGCACCUGAAAGUGGAACAAUUUACCCACUUAGUGCCUAUACCUACAGAAACACAUCCUCACUGGACACAACUUGAACAUUCCCCAAAACAAUUUCAGAAUGACACGAUAAGGGGGACAAAAAAAGAACAAAACAUUUUUGCUUAGCAGUUAUUGUAUUUGAUGUGGGCAGUGUGGCAGCUGAGUUUCACCAUGGCUGGCUGAGUAUGGGCUGGCUGACUAUGGGCUGGCUGAGUAUGGGCUGGCUGAGUAUGGGCUGGCUGACACAGGUUUAUGAGCAACAAGCAUCCAAUCAAUAUGCAUUGAUCCAAGAUGGCGUAGCAGUCAGACGUCUUUGUCCUGUCAUGUCCCUUGUAUAUAUCGUUUUACAUAUUUUUCGUCGCAUAUCCUUUCAAAUAUUUUGUAACUGGAUGCAGUCUAUGACAGUGCCAUCCGUUUUGUCACCAAAGCCCCAUUCACUACCCACCAUUGCGACCUGCACGCUCUCGUUGGUUGGCCCUCGCUUCAUACUCGUUG